UGAAACUGCGCAACUGGAGGGCAAGAAGGGAAAGCGGAACUCUGGGAGUAACGGUGAAAUGCGUAGAUACCCAGAGGAACGCCAGUAGCGAAGGCGGCUUUCUUGCUUGCACCUGACGCUGAGGCACGAAAGCUAGGGUAGCGAUCGGGAUUAGAGACCCCGGUAGUCCUAGCCGUAAACGAUGGGUACUAGGUGUAGGGGGAGUAUUACCCUCUGUGCCGAAGUUAACGCGUUAAGUACCCCGCCUGGGGAGUACGGUCGCAAGGCUGAAACUCAAAAGAAUUGACGGGGGGCUGAACAAGUAGUGGAGCACGUGGUUCAAUUCGAUGCUAAGCGAAGAACCUUACCAGGGUUUGACAUGCUGGUAGUAGCUGCCUGAAAGGGCGUGCGAUCUCAACUUCUGUUGGGAAGCCAGCACAGGUGGUGCAUGGCUGUCGUCAGCUCGUGCCGUGAGGUGUUGGGUUAAGUCCCUUAACGAGCGCAACCCUUGCUCUUAGUUACCAGCGGGUUAUGCCGGGCACUCUAAGAGGACCGCCGCCUGAAAGCGGAGGAAGGUGGGGACGACGUCAAGUCAUCACGCCCCUUAUGUCCUGGGCUACACACGUGCUACAAUGGUCUGCACAAUGGGACGCGACUUCGCGAGGAGAAGCUAAUCCCUCAAAGCAGGCCUCAGUUCGGAUUGCAGGCUGCAAUUCGCCUGCAUGAAGCUGGAAUUACUAGUAAUCGCGGAUCAGCUACGCUGCGGUGAAUACGUUCUCAGCCCUUGUACACACCGCCCGUCACACCACCCGAGUUGUGUGCACCCGAAGAUACUCAACUAACCGGC
rnacentral:rRNA from 1 species